rnacentral:misc_RNA from 1 species
UCCGGUUUGUCACCGGCAGUCUCAUUAGAGUGCCCACCAUUACGUGCUGGCAACUAGGGACAAGGGUUGCGCUCGUUGCGGGACUUAACCCAACAUCUCACGACACGAGCUGACGACAGCCAUGCAGCACCUGUCACUCUGUCCCUUUCGGGCCUUCCGUAUCUCUACGGCGUUCAGAGGAUGCCAAACCCAGGUAAGGUUUUUCGCGUUGCAUCGAAUUAAACCACAUUCUCCACCGCUUGUGCGGGCCCCCGUCAAUUUCUUUGAGUUUUAAUCUUGCGACCGUACUCCCCAGGCGGGAUACUUAACGCGUUAGCUGCGGCACGAGAGGGGUCAAUACCUCUCACACCAAGUAUCCAUCGUUUACGGCGUGGACUAC